rnacentral:misc_RNA from 1 species
UGGAAGGGUGCUAAUUAGAUUCU